rnacentral:tRNA from 2 species
UGGGGAUUGGUGUAGCUGGCAGCACGCGAGUUUCUGGUAUUCGUAGCCCAGGUUCGAUCCCUGGAUCCCCAG